rnacentral:rRNA from 1 species
CGUAGGUGGCAAGCGUUGUCCGGAUUUAUUGGGUUUAAAGGGUGCGUAGGCGGCUCCUUAAGUCAGUGCUGAAAUACUCUAGCUUAACUAGAGGGGUGGCAUUGAUACUGAGGAGCUUGAGUGUAGUCGAGGUAGGCGGAAUUGACGGUGUGGCGGUGAAAUGCUUAGAUAUCGUCAAGAACACCGAUAGUGUAGACAGCUUACUAGGCUACAACUGACGCUGAGGCACGAAAGUGUGGGGAUCAAACAGGAUUAGAUACCCUGGUAGUCCACACUGUAAACGCUGAUUACUCGCUGUUAGGCGAUACACAGUCAGCGGCUUAGCGCAAGCGAUAAGUAAUCCACCUGGGGAGUACGCCGGCAACGGUG